GAGAAAGGAGAAGAAAAAAAUAAGAAGAAGAAGGAAAAGAGGAAGAAGGAAAAGGAAGGGAAUGAUAAGAAAUAAGAAGACGAAGAAGAAGAAAAAUAGGAGAGGGAGAGAAGAAUAAGAGGAAAAAAGAAAAUAAUAAUAAUAAUAAGAAGAAGAAGAAGAAGAGAAGAAGUAAACAAGAAGAAGGAGAAGAAGAAUAAGAAGAAAAAAGAAAAAAGAAAAUAAGUAUAAGAA
rnacentral:lncRNA from 1 species